rnacentral:rRNA from 1 species
GGACCCGCGGUGCAUUAGCUAGUUGGUGAGGUAACGGCUCACCAAGGCCACGAUGCAUAGCCGACCUGAGAGGGUGAUCGGCCACAUUGGGACUGAGACACGGCCCAAACUCCUACGGGAGGCAGCAGUAGGGAAUCUUCGGCAAUGGACGAAAGUCUGACCGAGCAACGCCGCGUGAGUGAAGAAGGUUUUCGGAUCGUAAAACUCUGUUGUUAGAGAAGAACAAGGAUGAGAGUAACUGUUCAUCCCUUGACGGUAUCUAACCAGAAAGCCACGGCUAACUACGUGCCAGCAGCCGCGGUAAUACGUAGGUGGCAAGCGUUGUCCGGAUUUAUUGGGCGUAAAGCGAGCGCAGGCGGUUUCUUAAGUCUGAUGUGAAAGCCCCCGGCUCAACCGGGGAGGGUCAUUGGAAACUGGGAGACUUGAGUGCAGAAGAGGAGAGUGGAAUUCCAUGUGUAGCGGUGAAAUGCGUAGAUAUAUGGAGGAACACCAGUGGCGAAGGCGGCUCUCUGGUCUGUAACUGACGCUGAGGCUCGAAAGCGUGGGGAGCAAACAGGAUUAGAUACCCUGGUAGUCCACGCCGUAAACGAUGAGUGCUAAGUGUUGGAGGGUUUCCGCCCUUCAGUGCUGCAGCUAACGCAUUAAGCACUCCGCCUGGGGAGUACGACCGCAAGGUUGAAACUCAAAGGAAUUGACGGGGGCCCGCACAAGCGGUGGAGCAUGUGGUUUAAUUCGAAGCAACGCGAAGAACCUUACCAGGUCUUGACAUCCUUUGACCACUCUAGAGAUAGAGCUUCCCCUUCGGGGGCAAAGUGACAGGUGGUGCAUGGUUGUCGUCAGCUCGUGUCGUGAGAUGUUGGGUUAAGUCCCGCAACGAGCGCAACCCUUAUUGUUAGUUGCCAUCAUUCAGUUGGGCACUCUAGCAAGACUGCCGGUGACAAACCGGAGGAAGGUGGGGAUGACGUCAAAUCAUCAUGCCCCUUAUGACCUGGGCUACACACGUGCUACAAUGGGAAGUACAACGAGUCGCGAAGUCGCGAGGCUAAGCUAAUCUCUUAAAGCUUCUCUCAGUUCGGAUUGCAGGCUGCAACUCGCCUGCAUGAAGCCGGAAUCGCUAGUAAUCGCGGAUCAGCACGCCGCGGUGAAUACGUUCCCGGGCCUUGUACACACCGCCCGUCACACCACGAGAGUUUGUAACACCCGAAGUCGGUGAGGUAACCUUUUUGGAGCCAGCCGCCUAAGGUGGGAUAGAUGAUUGGGGUGAAGUCGUAACAAGGUAGCCGUAUCGGAAGGUGCGGCUGGAUCACCUCCUUU